CCACAGCACAAGAAGCAGGGUGAGAACAAGUGGAAAUUGACAAGCAGAAUGUGAUCCUAGAAGGACAAAUUGACUCAAAUAGUUUGAACACAUAUGAGACUCUUUCCUAUCAUUGCUGCACAGUUGCUUCCAGAUUACUCAAACUCCUUCUUCAAAGAAGAUUCAAAGUAUAAAGCAAAGAGGAGGAAAGAUGGACUCUUCCUUUGAAACUAAGCCCGACGCUAGUCGUAAAGGCAGAGUUCUUCAUGGUUUGUAAGUAGGCGUUCUAUUAAAAUGGCUUUUCAUUUCUGUUU
rnacentral:lncRNA from 1 species